rnacentral:lncRNA from 1 species
UUGUUAUUACCACCCUCUAUGGGUGCUUGUUUCCAGUCUUUCUCCCUCUCCCUCUCCCUUUACAUACCCCCCCCCUCCGGUUCUCCCACUCCUCUCCUCCUCUCCCCUCCCCCUCGCUCUCACUGUCUCUGUCUCUCUCUCUCUCCCUCCCCCUCCCGUACCCCUCUCUCCCUCUCCUCCCCUCCCACAUCUCUCUCCCUCUCCCUGUCUCUGUCUCUCUCCCUCCUUAUCUUCCUACCCCUCUCUAUUCCCCUCUCCCAUUCUUUGCCUCUUUCCCUCUCCUUCCCCCUGUCUCUCUGUCUCUCCCUCCCCCUUUCCACUCUCUCUCUCUGUCUCUCUCUCUACCUCUCCCUCUCUCUCUCCCUCCCUCCCCCCUCUCCACUCUCUCUGUCUCUCUCUCUCCCUCUCUCUCUCUCUCUCUCUCUCUCCCUCCCCCUCCUCAUCUCCCAUUCUCUGUCUCUCUCCCUCCCUCUCCCCCCUCUCUGUCUCUCUCCCUCUUGCUCCCCCUGUCCCUCUCCCUCUCCCACUCUGUCUCUCUCCCUCUCUCACUCUCUCUCUCUCCCUGAUGGCCACAGACCCUGGCAUUCCACUCACUCAGCACUAACAGUUUAACUCAGGGCACGACAGGCGUGUUUUUGUGUGUGUGUGCACCUGUGCACGUGCGUGUGUGUGUGGUUGGCAUUGUGGCAGGCAAGCAGAAAGGCAGGCAGGCUGGGCACAUAUGUCCCGACAGCGAUACCAGGCCAUGGCAACACAUUAACACUUGUUAAUAUCAGCAGGAUGAGCCGUGGUGGCACAGCGACAGGUAGUGAUGUAACGUAGCCUUCAGGGUGCCCAGUAACUGGCAGCAGUGCUCGCUGUGGUGAGAUUGCUUUCCUCUUCGCAUUUCCUAUUAAGAAGAGGAACUCAUGUGCUAGGCUAGUGUAAUGCUAGCUGUGCUAUGCUAAUAAUGAUAAUAACAAUAAUAAUAACACUAAUAGUAAGUAGAGCGAUGUUCAUUUACAGACAGAAAUUACAAAGUGCUUUACAUUGUGAGCGACCAUUAAAAAAUACUUUACAUAAAACAGGUAAAAACAUUAAGCGGGAAUUAAAAGAUCACUAAUGGCCUAGUAAAAUACAAGAUACACAAAAUAAUAAAGGCUUGUGUAACGCUAGCUGUGUGCUAUGCUAGGCUGUACGUAGUGUGAUAAGGCUUGUGUAAUGCUAGCUGUGCUAUGCUAGGCUUUAUGUAGUGUGGUAAGGCUUGUGUAAUGCUAGCUGUGCUAUGCUGGGCUUUAUGCGGUGUGGUAAGGCUUGUGUAAUGCUAGCUGUGCUAUGCUAGGCUGUGGUCAUGUAUUCCAAUCUGUUUGCUGAUAUGGAAGGCUUCAGUUUUCCAAUGGACGAUGUCAUUUAGCCAGAGGAAGAGACCUUCAACCCUAGUUAUUGUUGCUCCUAUUCAAGACUGCCAGAGAUACUGGGCUGAAUGCUUGUAGGCCCAUGUGUCAAGAUGUGUACAUGUCUGUGUGAGAGGAACUGCCAGACGACCUCCUGAGGGUGGAAGGAAACGUCUGUUGUUGGCAAUCUAGUGUUGGCAAACAACACCAUCCGCCUACAUCAACUAGGAGAGCCAAUCAUCGCAGAUCACACGACAUUCCCUAAUAUCAACCGUGUCAGUAUGCCGACACUCUGCCGCAUCUUGCGUCAACACCAACUUACGAUGAAGCAGCUGUACAGGGUUCCAUUUGAGAGGAACAGCGUUAGAGUCAAAGAACUUCGCUAUGACUAUGUGCAAAUAAGUACUAUACUGUAAUACAGUAAUGGCAGUAGAUGUUGUCCUAUUUGCACUGUAUAGAUACAUUCAGACAAAGCAGUAUGUGACCUAGGCAGGUGCCCCUAUUCUGGGGACGGCGGGGUUGUCUGUGGGGGCACCUACCUUGCCCAUAGCUUGUAGUUUUCACUGAAUGUGUCUGACCCAACCCACCCCAUCCUUGUGUGAAA